rnacentral:tRNA from 1 species
GGGGCUGUGGCUUAGUGGUAGAGUAUCUGCUUGGCAUGCAAAAGGUUCCAUGUUCAAUCCCAGGCCGCUCCA